GUGCUCGCUUCAGCAGCACAUAAACUAAAAUUGGAACAAUACAGAGAUGAUUAGCAUGGCCCCUGUGCAAGGAUGACACGCAAAUUCAUGAAGCGUUCCAUAUUUAA
rnacentral:snRNA from 1 species